rnacentral:rRNA from 1 species
UCCGUAGGUGAACCUGCGGAGGGAUCAUUACACAAAUAUGAAGGCGGGCUGGAACCUCUCGGGGUUACAGCCUUGCUGAAUUAUUCACCCUUGUCUUUUGCGUACUUCUUGUUUCCUUGGUGGGUUCGCCCACCACUAGGACAAACAUAAACCUUUUGUAAUUGCAAUCAGCGUCAGUAACAAAUUAAUAAUUACAACUUUCAACAACGGAUCUCUUGGUUCUGGCAUCGAUGAAGAACGCAGCGAAAUGCGAUAAGUAGUGUGAAUUGCAGAAUUCAGUGAAUCAUCGAAUCUUUGAACGCACAUUGCGCCCUUUGGUAUUCCAAAGGGCAUGCCUGUUCGAGCGUCAUUUGUACCCUCAAGCUUUGCUUGGUGUUGGGCGUCUUGUCUCUAGCUUUGCUGGAGACUCGCCUUAAAGUAAUUGGCAGCCGGCCUACUGGUUUCGGAGCGCAGCACAAGUCGCACUCUCUAUCAGCAAAGGUCUAGCAUCCAUUAAGCCUUUUUUUCAACUUUUGACCUCGGAUCAGGUAGGGAUACCCGCUGAACUUAAGCAUAUCAAUAA